AACUGCCUCAACCUAGGAGAGGAAGUGCGCGGCUCAGGAACUACCCAGGGCUGUAGAUUCCCAUCUUCUGGAGGCAGGCAAAGCUGAGUGCAGUGUGUUCGUGUGCCUGUACAGAAUUCUCUUGCCAACCUUUGCAGGGAGAGACAGCAGCCAAAUGCUCAGAAUUAAAGAGUAACCCCCAAAACCUGGAAAAGGGUCUAAGUUAACAAAACCUGGCUGGAAUGGAAGAGCACUGAGUGAAGAGAACCAGCACAGAGAAGCAAACAAAUGACCCCGUAGGGACUACUUAGCAAACUGUGAUCAACAACAACCAAUAACAACCAACAACCGACAACUCCACCUCUCAGGGCCCUUUAUUGUACAUCCUCUGAAAACUUUCCAGAAUUCCAAACAUCACACAAUCGCAAAAAGCGAUCUUCAAGUGUCAAAAUCACACCCCCACCAGAGCUCAAGGAAAA
rnacentral:lncRNA from 1 species